rnacentral:rRNA from 1 species
GGGAGUGACGUCAAAUCAUCAUGCCCCUUAUGUCUUGGGCUUCACGCAUGCUACAAUGGUUGGUACGACGAGUUGCGAGUCGGUGACGGCGAGCUAAUCUCUUAAAGCCAAUCUCAGUUCGGAUUGUAGGCUGCAACUCGCCUACAUGAAGUCGGAAUCGCUAGUAAUCGCGGAUCAGCACGCCGCGGUGAAUACGUUCCCGGGCCUU